rnacentral:rRNA from 1 species
UAGGGAAUAUUGCAAAAUGGGCGAAAGCCCGAUGCAGCAACGCCGCGUGGGCGAUGAAGGCCUUCGGGUCGUAAAGCCCUUUUUGAGGGGAUGAGGAAGGACAGUACCCUCAGAAUAAGCCUUGGCUAACUACGUGCCAGCAGCCGCGGUAAAACGUAGGAGGCGAGCGUUAUCCGGAUUUACUGGGCGUAAAGCGCGUGCAGGCGGAUUGGAGAGUUGGAUGUGAAAGCUCCCGGCUUAACUGGGAGAGGUCGUUCAAUACUUCCAGUCUUGAGUGCAGUAGAGGGAAGUGGAAUUCCGGGUGUAGUGGUGAAAUGCGUAGAUAUCCGGAGGAACACCAGUGGCGAAAGCGGCUUCCUGGACUGUAACUGACGCUCAGACGCGAAAGCUAGGGUAGCAAACG